rnacentral:rRNA from 1 species
AUUGAACGCUGGCGGCAUGCUUUACACAUGCAAGUCGAACGGCAGCGCGGGGCAACCUGGCGGCGAGUGGCGAACGGGUGAGUAAUAUAUCGGAACGUACCCAGAAGUGGGGGAUAACGUAGCGAAAGUUACGCUAAUGCCGCAUACGAUCUACGGAUGAAAGUGGGGGACCUUCGGGCCUCAUGCUUUUGGAGCGGCCGAUAUCUGAUUAGCUAGUUGGUGAGGUAAAGGCUCACCAAGGCGACGAUCAGUAGCUGGUCUGAGAGGACGACCAGCCACACUGGGACUGAGACACGGCCCAGACUCCUACGGGAGGCAGCAGUGGGGAAUUUUGGACAAUGGGGGGCAACCCUGAUCCAGCAAUGCCGCGUGAGUGAAGAAGGCCU